rnacentral:lncRNA from 1 species
CCCCACGGCUUUCUAAGUAGAGGGUAUAUUCUGUAGCAGCCAAAGCACCACUGUCAAAGUGAAAGCUGUCCUACAGAAUUGAGAGCUUACCCAGUUUAACAGUCAUUUUUGUGAUGUCACCAGCUUUACCAUGGAAGCUGCCCAGAACUUAAAAGAUCUUUCCUAGGAUUGUUGGAAUUACAUUAAACACAAGAUUUAAAAGAAAAAGAGAAAUGGCUGCUUUAAAUGACACCAUGGCUGCAGUUAACAGAAUUGGGUAGGCAUGGACUUCAAUGGAAAGCUGUACCUCUGAAGGAAAUAUCCUUCUUUCUUCAGGCCAUUGCCAUGACAUUUCAGAUCAACUUCAUUUACUUAUCACAAAAGGAUCUCAGUGGGAUUUUCUGUUUCCCUCUUACUGCCUCCACUAAAGGAGAACGUCUGUGCAAUUCUGUGAGUUUGUCUCCCAACCCUCAAGACUGUUAUGAGUCAACUAAGAGGUGUGUGAAAGGCAAGGUUCCUGUUGACUUCAGAAGAGUGAUUUUUCACUUGAUCAAAAUGCAGGGGGGUGUUGGGAUUCCAGCCAAACCUUUAGCUGGCCAGGCUUCAAAGCACUAGUGCCACUGUUCAGCGCCUGGCUUGCUCUACCAUUUAUGCGUGUGAUCAAGAUGCUAUAAUUCACUGAGUAAAAAGCAGAAUUAUAACAUGAGAGCAGAAUCAUCUAGAGAUGAUGGAAAUGCACUUUUUUUUUUUUAAUUAAUGGGAUUAAGAACGUCACAGUUUCUUGGACGGAAUGUUAAAUCCGAUCACGUAAAUUACUUUUUAGUUUCAUAUUGAUCCACUAUGCAAUAGCGACUAUUGUUAUAUGUUACAUAAAUAGCUGUAUUAAAAAAAGACUACAAAGGUGUCCCAGUUAUCUCAGAACAAUUAAUAUCCCACAAUUUUAAAAUGCCAAAAAAGAGGGUACCAAAAGGGUACAUGAUUCAUGACAUACUAGAAUUCUCAUGUUUUGCUUUGUAACAGGAUGGCAUUUUUCUUUUACUAGAUUGUAAAGGGUACAAAAGCUUCCUUCCUUAUCUUUCACAACACAAAAACAGCCAACCUGAUUUUAAUACAUUAAUAUUAUAAAAUAAACACAAGGCAGGCUCCUCUGAGUGCCUGUCA